rnacentral:tRNA from 1 species
GGAAAUGUGACUUAGUGGCAGAGUGCUUGCCUUGUACUCAUGAAGUCCUGGGUUCAAUUCCUCAGUACCA